CACUUAAGUUCUUUUGUUGAAAAAAAAAGGGAAGAAAUAUGGAAUCAUACAGUUAGGGGGAGUAAAAUUGUGACAAUCGUAAUAUUUGAUAUAGGUCCUCGUGGAAUUGGAUUUGACUGUCACUUGGUAGACAUACACCUCUGUCUGGUUGUUUUCACGUGUCCUUUCUCACUAAUUUAAGGUUUUGAGUCUCACUUGCAUGGACUACGUGGCACUUUUCACGGUGAUGUUCUGUAUACACUUUACUCCACGGGAUUUUGAACUAUGUGUGGACUUACAAUUUGUCUAUGUGUUGAGUGUCGGGGUUGUGACUUUAUGCUUAUUGUUGGUAUAGUUUACAUAAUUGGUCCCAUGCUUCAUUUUUUUUUUAUUAGUUUCUGAUGCUCUGCACUUGUCUUAUUUUUAAAAAUACACGAUUUAGGGCUAAUUUCAUCAUUUCUUGAUAAUUGGGUUCUUUUUCUCAAUAUUCAAAAUUUUAGUGUUAUUUCUGACAUUUGAACUUCGCUCGAGUCUCGCUUGGACUUCGCUCGAGCGACAAAAGCAGAACGCUUUUCGCUCGAGUUUCGCCCAUGGCUCUCUCGAGUGACAAUGCCUUUUUAAGAGUCCCCGUUUUCAUUUUUCGCGCAAUUCUUCUCUAUUCUCUCUCAUUUUUUCAACAAUUGCUGCGAUUCAUUCAAAAUUCAUCCAUCACACUUGUUUAUUACACAAUUUCGAAGCCCCUAACAUAUAUUGGCUUCCGAAUUUCAACAUUUGCACAGCGUUUUUGAGGUAAUUGUUUUUCGUUUUCUUUUUUUUUCUCUUUUUCUUUUUUUUUUUUUAUCCUCUUGUGUUUAGUUUUUUUUUGUAUUUUGAUUGUUUCUUCUUCCCUUGUUAUGAUCUUCAUGCUUUUCUUGUUUGUUAUUCUUGUUAUUCUUCGCAUUUUGUAUCACAAAUUACAUUAAAUUGUGUGUUCUUCCUUGGUUUAGUAAUGGAAUUUUCGUGUUUUUCGUCCAUGUUCGUGUUGUUCGUUUUUGCGUUCCGUUACUCCAUUUCUUGUGUGGUUUGUUUCAUUCUAAAGACCAUGGUUUCUAGUUUGUGGGACUAUGCUUGGUUGUGUGUUUGCCUCUCGUAUGUGCUUGGAAUUGUGUGUCAAAGUGUCGCACAUCACGUGUUCGAUGAAAGUCCUUAGUUAUAUGACUUUUGUUUUUCGUUAGUUUUUUGUUUUGUGUUUCUGUUUUCCUUCUUUCCAUUUCGUCUUUGUUUCAUUGUCGUCACGUGCUAUGUUGAGUGCUUUUGGACAUAUUUUAGGUUUAUCUUUUCGUCAUGCUUUGUUUGCUCUUAGGGUCGUUCACGUUUUUCGAUGCAUUUCUUUCGUGCCUCAUUUGUGUGUGCAGUGUUUCAUUUCACAUUGCAUCAUAUUACGUGCAUUCUUCAUGUUACUCAUUAGUUCCGUCUCUACAUGUGCCAGAUCGCCCGUAAGCGUUCUUGACCCUCUGCGCAACCGGCCAAUGGUUCGACGUCGUAUAGUCGAUCGCGAUUCAUUUCUGCUACAGCUCAGGAGGUCUUCACUUCUCAGUUCUCCUUACGUCCCGUACUCGUGGAGCGUGAGGUAAUCUUAUCUGACCUUCCUAUUGAUAUAGCCGCCAUUUUUGUUUUCCGGGGUUGGGAGCCCCUUCUUGUUGGUCUUUCACCUCCACCCCCACUCCUGGUUCAGGAAUUUUAUGCUAAUAUUCAUGACAUAGACGGCUCGUCGUUUAGGAUUUUUCUUAGAGGUCAUUCUUUUAGGGUUACUCCUUCAGCAAUAGCUCAUGCUUUGGGUAUACCUCAGAUUACCCAUCCGACUUUUCCUUAUAUUCUACCUACUUCUAUUCCGGCCGAUGCCCUUGUUUGGUCGACGCUUUUGAACACCCCGUUUGUCGGGGGGCUUACGGCGAUGGCCACGGGUUCUUUACCCACUGAUCGUCAGGUUUUGUUGCGCAUCGUGUGCACAAACCUGUGGCCUGUUGCCCACACGUCUUCUUUACCUAUGGUGAGAGCCCAUUUUCUAUAUGCCCUUCUUUAUGGGGACUCGAUCGACCUUCCUAGUUUUGUGUGCCAGCAGAUUCUGGCUUCAUUUCUUACUCCUGGGGGACGGAUCGGGUUGCCUUAUGCUUGCUUGAUUCAUAGGGUUGCUUUGUCUUUAGGUGCUUCUUUUUCAAAGGGUUCGACUAGUCGCAUAGGACGUCCGAUAGGACAGCAGACCAUUCAUCAGAGUCAAUCCCAAGUUCCAUUUUCUUCCUCUUCUGCUCAUGCUGUGGCUCAGGUUGAGCCUGUUGAUGUCUUUGAUUUUUCGGAGCCCCUUGAUCCUAUUACUGAUAUUCUUACUGGGGGUUCUCGUAUCUUUCUUCCUUCUCGUUCCGAUCCUCCUUUAGCUAUUCCGCUUAGCUCUACCUUUCCUUCGACAUCUACUUCUGCUCCUGGGGUGGCUGCUUUGCCCAUUGACCCCAUGGUGACGCUUAUGGGACAGAUGUCUACACUGGUCGAACAGCAGGCUCGUAUGAUGGCUGAGAUCACGCAGUUACGUGCUGCUUCGGAGCGUCGGUCAGCUGAGCUUUCUACUUUUCGCCAUGCUCUUGCCGUGUGUCAGCAACAUUUGCGCUGGAUUCAUGAUAGUAUGGAGGAGAGCACGAGUGGCGAGAGCAGUGCUGAGUCUUCGGAUGCUGGAGGUGCUGCCUCGUAGUUAGUUAGUUGAUUGUUUUUUAUCCUUUGUCCUUUGUGACAAAAAGGGGGAGUAGAUAUUUUGGAUAGAGUUGGAUAGAUAGAUAUCGAUUUUUUGGUAAUUGUGAUAUAAAGAUGAUGUGUAUAUAAUUCAUGACUAGAUUAAGUUUUUGAUGUUUUGGCAAUAUUAAUGUAUGUUUUUGGUGUUUUUGACUUACAUUAUUAUUGCUUCUUAAUCCGGUUAAUGACGUAUGAUCUAUUUCUUGUUUUUAUUUAUUGUUUCCAUUUCACAUGCUUUUACACUUGGUAUUUGAGUUUUUGAUUUUCAGGAAACAGGUUCAACAAGAGAUAGCUGCUUUGGUUAAAUAGAUAGGUUGUUUGGAGUCAUUUUUAUUUAUGUCCUUGACUGUCAUAUGUAUUUUUGUCACAGAAUGCCAAAGGGGGAGUUUGUUAGGAAAAUGUGUAAUUGGCAAUCUGUGACCAAAGGACCUAUUUGUCAAAAUUGUAAAGUCAAGGAACAAAUUGUAAAGGUCUAAUAGUUCAGGGACUAAAGUUGCAAUUUAGCAAAGUUCAUAGCAUAGGUCUAGGAUAAAGUGGGAUGCUUUGAAGAUGCAAACGGUGCGUUGAUUUCGCUAGAGUUUCGUCCUGACCUCGCUCGAGCCUAAAUUGUAGAACAGACAUCACUAGAGUUUCGCUAAGCUGUCGCUCGAGCGAAGGUGCGUCGCUCGAGUUUCGCCAGCACCUCGCUUGAGCUACGGUGUUAUCUGGCCUUUGGUAAUUUUAAUGCCUCGCGAAUUUUUAACGCUCCAUAUUACCAAAUUCAACCUACUAUAUAAACAAAACUUCCGAUUUUCGUUAAAGACCUUUGGCAAACAUUCAAACAGGAAUUCCUCUCAACUUCCAAAGGAUUAAGAACCUAAUAUUCAUUCUUUUCAUCUUUUAAUUCUCAUGGUUCUUUGAAUAAAAACAUCAACCCUCUCAAAACCAAAACACCCUUUCAUAGCUCCAUAUCAACUUCCAGAAGAUCGUCAGUUUGAAGAUCCAGGAAGGGAAUUGCUUGAAGAGCUGGAGUGCUUCGUGAUUCAUGGAAGGUAGAAGAUAUUCAAGGUUGGGAUUUUGGCGCAGAUCUGCAAAAUCCAGGAUAGCUGUGGUCGAUACAGUAAGGAGGUCAGAGUAUUGUUAGAAUCAAUAAUGUCUGGCGUACUGUAAGUCAAUAUCUUCUAUAGUGGAUCUCUACUGGUUUAUGCCCGGAGUUUUUACCCAGUUGGGUUUUCUCCAUCAACAUUUUGUGGCGUUUUUACUGAUUUUUGUUAUUUACUUUUCAACCGGUAAUUCAACUUAGGUAGAUAAAGUAUGUGAAUGAAUCUGGACAAUGCAUAAUUUAUGUAACUUGUUGAAUAAGUUAAUUAAUUGCCUUAAUUCCGCAUAAACACCUAUUCACCCCCCUCUAGGUGUUGGUUGGGUCGAACUAUAGCUUUUUCAAUACCAAUGGUUAUCUGAAAUAAGAACAUAAAUGUUCAAUAGUGCCUUUUUUGCCUAUGGAGAAGACACCUAUUAUUUAAUCAUAUAUACUUUUUUUUUUUCAAAAAAUUCAUAAAAAUUGGAGUUCUCUAUGCAAUGAAUCAAUUUUAUAAAUCUGCAUAUCAUGUAGUUUAAUCAGGCUUCCUUGAGACCACAGAAUUGUGCUCAUGGUUACUUGCACAAUAUGUCACCACGCAAACGAUUGAUAGAACCUAGAAAAACAGGGGAAAACAUAAAAUCACUCUAAAGGAGAAAAAUGAGAGAAGAUUGGACCGACUUGCAAUGAAA
rnacentral:lncRNA from 1 species